AACGUUGUUUUUCUCCCAACAUACAGCUUUGCUUCCACUUAGCAUAAAUGUCUGCUCACCCUUCCAGUGGACUCCACAUGCUCCUCCUCAUGUAUAUGAUCACAAGUUUUUGCAAUUGAAAAAAUCACAUUGAGAAGAGGUGUGAAUUCUCCCAUCAUGGCUGGUUUCAAGUUACCAGUAGAUUAACAACCAACUCACAGAAUUUCUGAAAAGUGAACAAUUGACCAGUAGGAGCUGGCUUUAUUAUGGUUAAAGGUAUUGGAAUAAGCUGAGCUGGAUCAGAUCUCCCAUACCCAUAACCAAAUGGUGAUGUGCGCCCUCCAACAAAAACACACUGUGCCCCAAAGUGACUUACACUGUGCCCCACCAAAGAGACAUCAGGUGGAUUCUUGCCACACUGAGGGAGUAGAUAUGCAACAGUAUAGCCAGGAGAGAACCACAAUAGCACCCUUGGGUGGGACCCAGUCAUCUCUUUCCAUAACUCCUCUUUCCCCACACACCCAGACUUCCCAGAGAGGAGGAGAUGAUCAAAGAAAGGUGUGGACCACAACUGUUGUGCCCUACGGGUUUCAGGCCAUGGGUCAAGCAGCAUGAGCUAGGAGAGGCGGGAGGUGGUGGUGCUCUAUGAGAACGAAGUUUAGCUGGAUCAAAAUGGACUGGACUGGAAAUAAUCUGUAAGUAACUGAAAAGGAGGGUUUGUCUUAGUACAAAUGAAUGUGGCAUUUGGAGAAAAAAACACAAAACUAUUUCUGAUAUAAACUCCUACCAAGUUCAAACUGAUAAAUCAAUUGUGCUCAUUAUUAAAUUAAUUUGAAGUUUAUCAUUGAAAUAAAAACAAAACAAAACAAAAAUUAACCUUCUAUAUAACUCACAGAAAGAUACUCUACAAAUAGACUGAAAUGAGAAGAUGAAUUAAAAAAAUCGUUAAAUAUCAGAAUUCAAAGUUGAAGAUCUGAUCUAAGGAUGUAUUAGACGGGAACUUUGACAGAGACGGGGGCCACAUUUAAGAGGCGAAGUUACCUGAUUGGGUAGCCAGUUUUAUAUGGUGGGCAAAACAUAAAGGUGUCAAGAUUGAUUCUUAUUUCCCAAAUUGGAAAGCUAAAUAUAGUUUCAUGGUUUUGGAACUCAGAGUUUUUAAAAUUGGCAUGAAUUUAGAAGACAUUAUUUUACAUGUAUGUUGAAAUUGGAAGAGUCCUCUCUGAAUAAUAAACUAAGAUGAUGAAUA